CCUACGGGAGGCAGCAGUGAGGAAUAUUGGUCAAUGGCCGGAAGGCUGAACCAGCCAAGCCGCGUGAGGGAGGACGGCGCAGAGCGUCGCAGACCUCUUUUGCCGGGGGACAAAAGGCCGGACUCGUCCCGUCCUGCGUGUACCCGGAGAAAAAGCAUCGGCUAACUCCGUGCCAGCAGCCGCGGUAAUACGGAGGAUGCGAGCGUUAUCCGGAUUCAUUGGGUUUAAAGGGUGCGUAGGCUGUGCGUUAAGUCAGCGGUGAAAUUCCCGGGCUCAACGGGGUGAAGGGCCGUUGAUACUGGCAUGCUGGAGUGGGGGUGAAGUGGGAGGAAUGUGUGGUGUAGCGGUGAAAUGCAUAGAUAUCACACAGAACACCGAUUGCGAAGGCAGCGCACGAAUCCGCGAUUGACGCUGAUGCACGAAAGCGUGGGUAUCAAACAGGAUUAGAUACCCGUGUAGUC
rnacentral:rRNA from 1 species